CAGCCCAGCCAGGAGAUGCCAGAUUGUCGUGGAAAUUAGACAAUACUCGCAGACUCGUCCUCUGAAGCACCGUUACUUUUUGUUUCAGAUUAAGAUGACUCAGCUUUAUUCACCUGAAGUUGUGCUGAAGAACACAGCGGAGGCUGUUAUUGUUCCAUUAAAAGACGGCAUCUCCACCCUGAAUGAAGUCUAUCAGGCCCUGAUUAAAGCAGAUAUAGAUCCUGUUAUUGGGCAAUGCUCCAACUACGACUACAUCAGACAGCAGAUAGUGCAGGCUC